rnacentral:rRNA from 1 species
UGACCGCUGGCGGCGUGCCUAAUACAUGCAAGUCGAGCGAACGGACGAGAAGCUUGCUUCUCUGAUGUUAGCGGCGGACGGGUGAGUAACACGUGGAUAACCUACCUAUAAGACUGGGAUAACUUCGGGAAACCGGAGCUAAUACCGGAUAAUAUUUUGAACCGCAUGGUUCAAAAGUGAAAGACGGUCUUGCUGUCACUUAUAGAUGGAUCCGCGCUGCAUUAGCUAGUUGGUAAGGUAACGGCUUACCAAGGCAACGAUGCAUAGCCGACCUGAGAGGGUGAUCAGCCACACUGGAACUGAGACACGGUCCAGACUCCUACGGGAGGCAGCAGUAGGGAAUCUUCCGCAAUGGGCGAAAGCCUGACGGAGCAACGCCGCGUGAGUGAUGAAGGUCUUCGGAUCGUAAAACUCUGUUAUUAGGGAAGAACAUAUGUGUAAGUAACUGUGCACAUCUUGACGGUACCUAAUCAGAAAGCCACGGCUAACUACGUG